GGCAAGAUGGCCGAGUGGUCCAAGGCGACAGGUUUAGGCCCUGUUCUCGAGAGAGGCGCAGGUUCGAACCCUGCUCUUGUCA